rnacentral:tRNA from 1 species
GGGGGUAUAGCUCAGCUGGGAGAGCGCUUGCAGCAAGAGGUCAGCGGUUCGAUCCCGCUUAUCUCCACCA